AUUGAACGCUGGCGGCAGGCCUAACACAUGCAAGUCGAGCGGAUGAAGGGAGCUUGCUCCUGGAUUCAGCGGCGGACGGGUGAGUAAUGCCUAGGAAUCUGCCUGGUAGUGGGGGAUAACGUCCGGAAACGGGCGCUAAUACCGCAUACGUCCUGAGGGAGAAAGUGGGGGAUCUUCGGACCUCACGCUAUCAGAUGAGCCUAGGUCGGAUUAGCUAGAUGGUGGGGUAAAGGCCUACCAAGGCGACGAUCCGUAACUGGUCUGAGAGGAUGAUCAGUCACACUGGAACUGAGACACGGUCCAGACUCCUACGGGAGGCAGCAGUGGGGAAUAUUGGACAAUGGGCGAAAGCCUGAUCCAGCCAUGCCGCGUGUGUGAAGAAGGUCUUCGGAUUGUAAAGCACUUUAAGUUGGGAGGAAGGGCAGUAAGUUAAUACCUUGCUGUUUUGACGUUACCAACAGAAUAAGCACAGGCUAACUUCGUG
rnacentral:rRNA from 1 species